UACAGAGGUCCCAAGCGUUGUUCGGAUUCAUUGGGCGUAAAGCGCACGUAGGCGGAUACUUAAGUCAGGGGUGAAAUCCCGAGGCUCAACCUCGGAACUGCCUUUGAUACUGGGUAUCUCGAGUCCGGAAGAGGUGAGUGGAAUUCCGAGUGUAGAGGUGAAAUUCGUAGAUAUUCGGAGGAACACCAGUGGCGAAGGCGGCUCACUGGUCCGGUACUGACGCUGAGGUGCGAAAGCGUGGGGAGCAAACAGG
rnacentral:rRNA from 1 species